rnacentral:rRNA from 1 species
UACGAAGGGUGCAAGCGUUACUCGGAAUUACUGGGCGUAAAGCGUGCGUAGGUGGUUUGUUAAGUCUGAUGUGAAAGCCCUGGGCUCAACCUGGGAACUGCAUUGGAUACUGGCGAUCUGGAGUGCGGUAGAGGGUGGCGGAAUUCCCGGUGUAGCAGUGAAAUGCGUAGAGAUGCGGAGGAACACCAGUGGCGAAAGCGACUUUCUGGUCCUUAACUGACGCUGAGGCGCGAAAGCAUGGGGAGCGAACGGG